UUUCACUCAACCUUCGCUUGUGUGCUCUCAAGUUCCCGAAGGAUUUUUCACAAGGCACCAUCUUAGAUGGAUAUGAUGUAAAAAAGUAUAUUGCUUUAAGUUUGACUGAGGCCAUUUGCCGGCAAAACUGUAGCAUCAUUUCCGACCUGGACAAAUGCGAUUUGUGUACCGGUUAUCUGUUCAACUACAAUUGCCUUGAGCGAGAUGAAUGUCUACAUCAGAUUCACAAUUGCGACUCCAAUGCUGCGUGUACCAACACGGUUAGGUCCUACAACUGCACGUGUAACUCUGGGUUUUACGGUGACGGCACAUCCUGCAAAGUAUGCAAUUGCUUGAAUCACGGUCAGUGUACUGAAGAUGGCACCUGCAACUGCCAGAAAGGAUUCCACGGAG